CUUAAGUUAUAUAUUCUUGAUGUUUGUAAUUGGAAAUUUCAAUAGCCUCACUGAUAAACAACAGCAUCAUUUUAUUUUAUUUUUACAAGGUUGGAUAUUUCUUUGCUUUUGACUUGUGUCAUUCUGUUUAGGUUUCAUAAUUCAGUCAGACAUUGAUGAAUUGUGUGUUGUCCCUUGCUUUGCUAAUAUGGUGGAAGAUGCUUUCGUUGUUUUGUACAACAUACUUGCAAGCAGACCUGAAAUAUCAGAGAUUUAAUGUGUCAAGGAUGCAAAAGUUCCUUUAAUGCGUUUUAAAUUUGAUGGGAUCCCCGUUGAUCUUCCAUAUGGUCAACUUAAAGUAGUAUCCAUUCCAGAGAAUGUGAAUGUCUUCAACCCAUUCUUUAUAAGGAAUAUUGAUGAGAGCAAUUGGAAAAGUUUAUCCGGAAUACGUGC